CAUUUGAUUUCUUUAAACGUAUCGAAUGGUAGGUGAACCCGAAAGGCGUUGCCAUGGUUGUUAUGGACGUUACGACUAUUCUCCUGAAGCCGUUUACAACUGCCGUCAUUUUAUUAACGUUACCAAAACUGACACUUGCAAAAAUUCCAAAUAUUGCAUAUUUUAUUAUGGAACUCUUGAAAAAUCGAGCAAGACCGAAGCUCAAGCGGUGAGAUUUUGUUCGAACCGUGAUUGCGAUUACUUUAGGGCUUCGGGCCAAGCAAACCAACACUGUUCGCAGUGCGAAACCGACUAUUGCAAUACUGACAUAUAUUGAACGUUAAGGAGAACCCUUUCUAAAAGGAUUAUGAACAUUUUUGUGCAUACUCUAUAGUACCACUAAUUAUGUUACUAUUCUUUAAUAUUGUUGAUCUAUUUGCUUUGACAUUAUCCUCUAAAAGUCUAAACUAAUUAUGUAUGAUAUAAUAAAUGUAUUUUCAGUCA